GUAGGUGGCAAGCGUUGUCCGGAAUUAUUGGGCGUAAAGCGCGCGCAGGCGGUUCUUUAAGUCUGAUGUGAAAGCCCACGGCUCAACCGUGGAGGGUCAUUGGAAACUGGAGAACUUGAGUACAGAAGAGGAAAGCGGAAUUCCACGUGUAGCGGUGAAAUGCGUAGAGAUGUGGAGGAACACCAGUGGCGAAGGCGGCUUUCUGGUCUGUAACUGACGCUGAGGCGCGAAAGCGUGGGGAGCAAAUAGGAUUAGAUACCCUGGUAGUCCACGCCGUAAACGAUGAGUGCUAAGUGUUAGGGGGUUUCCGCCCCCCUUAGUGCUGCAGCUAACGCAUUAAGCACUCCGCCUGGGAGUACGGCCGCAAGGCUG
rnacentral:rRNA from 1 species